UACGAAGGGGGCUAGCGUUGUUCGGAAUCACUGGGCGUAAAGCGCACGUAGGCGGAUUUGUCAGUCAGGGGUGAAAUCCCGGAGCUCAACCUCGGAACUGCCUUUGAUACAGCACGUCUCGAGUCCGGAAGAGGUGGGUGGAAUUCCUAGUGUAGAGGUGAAAUUCGUAGAUAUUAGGAAGAACACCAGUGGCGAAGGCGGCCCACUGGUCCGGUACUGACGCUGAGGUGCGAAAGCGUGGGGAGCAAACAGG
rnacentral:rRNA from 1 species